AUUGAACGCUGGCGGAAUGCUUUACACAUGCAAGUCGAACGGCAGCACGGGUGCUUGCACCUGGUGGCGAGUGGCGAACGGGUGAGUAAUACAUCGGAACGUACCCAGUCGUGGGCGAUAACGUAGCGAAAGUUACGCUAAUACCGCAUCAGUCCUGCGGGAGAAAGCGGGGGACCGUAAGGCCUCGCGCGAUUGGAGCGGCCGAUGGCGGAUUAGCUAGUUGGUGGGGUAAAGGCCUACCAAGGCGACGAUCCGUAGCGGGUCUGAGAGGACGGCCCGCCACACAGGAACUGAGACACGGUCCAGACUCCUACGGGAGGCAGCAGUGGGGAAUCUUGCACAAUGGGCGAAAGCCUGAUGCAGCGACGCCGCGUGGAGGAUGAAGGUUUUCGGAUUGUAAACUCCUGUUAAGUGGGAAGAAAGAUUCAUACCUAAUACGUAUGGAGGAUGACGGUACCACUAGAGAAAGCACCGGCAAACUUCGUGCCAGCAGCCGCGGUAA
rnacentral:rRNA from 1 species